GGGAAGCUUGUCUUUCUGAGCCACAGCAUGGACAGGGAGAUUGCAGGCUUUGAUGGACAGCACUUGGGGAUUUCUCUUCCACUCCUUGAAAAAGAUGUCCAAAAUAUGUAGGAUCAUGGAACAAUUCAAGGAGAGUGCUUUCUCCAGUGCUGGGAAUGGAAACAGCAGGCACCUGAACUUCCUGCACUGCUCUCCAGAAAAGUGUCCAUCUGGCCUCUGAACCACAGCUCUCUGGAGGUUUUCUGGCAACCACCUUCUUGCCCAUGGGAGAACUGCUGGACACAGACUGCAAAGAGCCUUCAUUGCUGAGUGUGUAAUGAAAGCAAGUGCUACUGCAAACUGGAG